rnacentral:rRNA from 1 species
AUUGAACGCUGGCGGCAUGCCUUACACAUGCAAGUCGAACGGCAGCACGGGUGCUUGCACCUGGUGGCGAGUGGCGAACGGGUGAGUAAUACAUCGGAACAUGUCCUGUAGUGGGGGAUAGCCCGGCGAAAGCCGGAUUAAUACCGCAUACGAUCCACGGAUGAAAGCGGGGGCCCUUCGGGCCUCGCGCUUUAGGGUUGGCCGAUGGCUGAUUAGCUAGUUGGUGGGGUAAAGGCCUACCAAGGCGACGAUCAGUAGCUGGUCUGAGAGGACGACCAGCCACACUGGGACUGAGACACGGCCCAGACUCCUACGGGAGGCAGCAGUGGGGAAUUUUGGACAAUGGGCGAAAGCCUGAUCCAGCAAUGCCGCGUGUGUGAAGAAGGCCUUCGGGUUGUAAAGCACUUUUGUCCGGAAAGAAAUCCUUGACUCUAAUACAGUCGGGGGAUGACGGUACCGGAAGAAUAAGCACCGGCUAACUACGUG